UUGUUGGACGCAACAACUGGGUGUGACUGAAUAAUCUUACUGGCAUAUAGCUAGAUAAGGUGAUGAGACACAGGUGGUGCUGCUCCUAGGGAACUAGGAGAAUCGACUUACCAGUCGGGUCUCAGGCAGAGACGUUUUUCUAAACUGUAGAAAUGCCCGUCUCUUGUUGGUAUACAGGACUCCAACCACCCUCCUU
rnacentral:ncRNA from 1 species